ensembl:rRNA 5S_rRNA 5S ribosomal RNA
AAGUACGGCCAUACCAUACUGAACGCGCCCGAUCUCGUCUGAUCUUGGAAGCUAAGCAGGGUCAGGCCUGGUUAGUACUUGGUUGGGAGAAUACAAAAAAAAGUGUUUA